CCCUUAGAUGUUCUGGGCUGCACGCGCGCUACACUGAUGCGCUCAACGAGUUUUAACCUUGCCUGGAAAGGUUGGGUAAUCUUUUUAAAACGCAUCGUGAUGGGGAUAGAUUAUUGCAAUUAUUAAUCUUCAACGAGGAAUUCCUAGUAAGCGCGAGUCAUCAGCUCGUGCUGAUUACGUCCCUGCCCUUUGUACACACCGCCCGUCGCUCCUACCGAUUGAAACAUACGGUGAAAAUCUCGGAGAGAGAAAGUUCUUGGUGCAAAGUUCGCUUGGCAUCACCUUUUUUUCAAAGUUAUUUAAAUCUCAUGGUUUAGAGGAAGGAGAAGUCGUAACA
rnacentral:rRNA from 1 species